UACGAAGGCAGCUAGCGUUGUUCGGAAUUACUGGGCGUAAAGCGCACGUAGGCGGACUUGUCAGUCAGGGGUGAAAUCCCAAGGCUCAACCUUGGAACUGCCUCCGAUACAGCAAGUCUUGAGAUCGGGAGAGGUGAGUGGAAUUCCUAGUGUAGAGGUGAAAUUCGUAGAUAUUAGGAAGAACACCAGUGGCGAAGGCGGCUCACUGGCCCGAUACUGACGCUGAUGUGCGAAAGCGUGGGGAGCAAACAGG
rnacentral:rRNA from 1 species